GAUGAACGCUGGCGGCGUGCCUAAUACAUGCAAGUCGAGCGAACGGACGAGAAGCUUGCUUCUCUGAUGUUAGCGGCGGACGUGUGAGUAACACGUGUAUAACCUACCUAUAAUACUUGUAUAACUUCGUGAAUCCUUAUCUAAUACCGUAUAAUAUUUUUAACCGCAUUGUUCAAAAGUUUAAUUCGGUCUUUCUGUCACUUAUAGAUGGAUCCGCGCUGCAUUAGAUAGUUGGUAAGGUAACGGCUUACCAAGGCAACGAUGCAUAGCCGAACUGAGAGGGGGAUCGGCGACAAUGGAACGGAGACACGGUACAGACUACUACGGGAGGCAGCAGUAGGGAAUAUUCCGAAAAGGGCGAAAGCAUGACGGAGCAAAGCCGCGUGAGUGAGGAAGGUCUUCGGAUCGUAAAAAUAUGUUAUUAGGGAAGAAAAUAUGUGUAAGUAAAUGAGCACAUAUUGACGGUAACUAAUAAGAAAGCAACGGCUAACUACGUG
rnacentral:rRNA from 1 species